rnacentral:lncRNA from 1 species
GGACCAUUCAUGAAGUUGAGUUCCAGGACUAUUCUUGAGUAUCCCAUUUUUCUCCAUGGCAGAUGUGCUCAACUCUGACUCAACUCUGCUGGUGAUUAAAAUAAUUCCAGAGAUUCAUCUUCAAAGUCCACUGGAUUCUAAAAAUCUCAAAGCAAAUGGGAAAGUGUCCCACUGGUUUAGAAAUGGAAUUGGAAGCCUGCAGGAGAAAGCAAGGAUUUUUAUUGUAGGGAUACCUGUCACAUGAAAAGCCCAUAUGGCCUGGAGUGUCACACUUCAUUUACCUCAACAAUGCAAACAAGAGCUUGAGAAGAAUCUCACCAUUUGACAGCCCAAAUGGCUCUUUAGCAACAACUUCUAGUUCUCUGGCCAGGCCACAUUAAAUGACAGUUUUAUUGAAAGAAAAAGAAACCAAAAAAUAACAUGGAGUAUUGUCAUGAGAUUGAGACAUGUUGGGGGUUGAGGGUCAGAGGUGAAUUUUAACUGUUCUCAUGUUCAACAAAGAGGCCAAAAUCCUAUGCUAUUCUCUUGUGGGGAUAAUGGAAAUGAGUUAAUAUGAUAUUGAGGAAAACUUCAUUUUUUUUUUCUUUAGGAAUAUCAAGGUGGAGGAGGAUUAAUGACCCACAAAUAGAAGAGAUAAAGAUCAGUGUUUCUUUUGCAUAGAAAGAAUAUUUGGUGCUAUUGGAGCACCCCCUGGAAAAGUUGCUAAUGGGACCUGAGGGCAGGGGGUGAAUAAUUCCUCCUCUGCUUGGUAUUGAGCUCUUCUCCCCAUGUUGGAUUUUCUAUAAAAUGAUUCACUAAGAGUGUGGGUUAUAUUAUUCAAUUGUAUGUUAGCAGCAGAACAAGAGUUUUGGGGGAACAAUGGAAGGAUAGGGUAGAAAGGAUUGGAAAAUUGGAGGAUAAAGCUAUUAUAAACCAUAAUGAGGGACUCCAAAGCCAUGGUCAAGGAAAAGAGUUUUCUUUUUGGUAUUUUUUUGUUUUAUAAUCACUGGGACUCUUGAGUAGUCAUUGGGCAAGAUGUUGCCAUGUGCUUCACAUUGGCAAAGACGAAUCUAAUUCAUUCAAUUACUGACCAAGAGGUAGAACAGCAGAAAUGAUGGUUCUCUGGCUUGUUUAUGGAUGCAGGACUUAAUGAAGUCAAGAAGCAUUUAUUCAGUUCUUAAUAUCUGCCAGGCACUGUGUUCAGUGCUAGGUAUAGGAUACUUCAGCAGAGGGAAGACACCAGAAUUCAGGUGAUUGAGAAAGGUUCUAGUAGAAGAAGUGACUUUAGUUGAGACUUGAAGAAAGUCAGGGAAAUUAGGAGGUGGAGGUGAGGAAGAAGAGUCUUCCAGUCCUGAGGACAGCCAGUGAAAAUGUUUAGAGCUACAAGAUAGAGUCUUGUACCAGAAAGAAUAAGGACAGCAUUUACUGGAUCAUAGAAAAUGCACAGAAAGUGCAAAAAGAUUGCCCAGGUAUAGAGAUUAAAAGUCAAAAGUUUUGGAUGUGAUCCUGGAGGAUCACCUGGGUUGCUUGAAUGGGGGAGGGGUCAUGGCAUAGUUAGAACUGCCCUUUAGGAAGAUCAGUUGGCAACUGAGUCAAAGAUGGACUGGAGUAAGGACACUGGAAACAAGAAACCAACCAGCAGGGUGUUGCAAAGAUCCAGGUCUGAAUUAGAGGACUUGGAUCAGGGUAGUGAUUAUGUCCAAGAAAAGAAGUAGAAAUAUGCAAAAAAUAUUACAAAAAAGAAUUAUACACUCUUGACUGGUUUGAGAAACAGAACCAAUAUAGGGGGUGGGCAGGGUAAGAGCAAAUAAGACUUCGAGCUUAGCCCCAAGGUUAUAAACCCAGUGUCCUCAACAAUAAUAGGGAAGUUUGGAAGAAAGUUUGAUGGUGGUGAUGGGGGGGGGGUAGGAAAACAAUCUCAGUUUUAGACUCAUUUAGCUUAAGGUAAUCUAUGAUAUAUCCAAAUUCAAGAUAGAUGAUUGGAGGUCAAGAAAGAGGUUAGGACUGGAAAAAUAGAUCUGAGAAUCAUCUGCACAGAGAAGAGAGUUAAAUCCGUAAGAGCUGGUAAAGUCACCAAGGGGAAGAGUAAAGAGGGAGAUGAGAAAAGGACCCAGAUAAAAUAGGGGGAGAUAGCCUGGGUUAGAUGUGACCAGGAUAUCUAGUGGUAUUCUGGAGUUCAGCUGUUUAUUAUGGAAAUGUCUUCCUUCUUUCCCAAAUGGAAGAGAAAGGUGGGAUGGCAGAAUGAAUUCUGGCUUUGUCCACUUCACAAUGUGUCACUUUAUACAAGUCUUAGCAAGUUUUUCUAAGACCAUUCCCUUCAUUAUUUCUUAUACCACAAUAAUAUUUUAUCACAUUUAUAUACUUUAACUUAUUCUGCUAUUCUCUAAUUUGCAAGUACCUCCUCAAUUCCCAUUCUCUGCUAUUCAAAAAAUAGCUACAAAUAUUUUUGUAUAUCCAUCAUUAGAAUUUGUUUUGCUUAAUAUUAAUUCUUUCCUUAAUAUUUUCUUCCUCUAGUUCCCUUUUCUCCCACCACUCUGUUUCUCGGUUGAAUGAAACCUAUUUCUGUACUAAGUCUUCUCUGUCUCUAUGUCUCUGUUUCUCUCACAUUGUCUCGGUCUCUGUCUGACUUUAUUGAUCUUUCCAGUUCAGAUAAGAGUGAAGUUCAAGUAUCAACCUGACCUCAUUCUUUUUGUAUUUACUUUCUCCAUGCACACCUUGGUUAUAUGAGAUAAAGUUCCCCAAUCUUCCUUUACCUUUCCUAUCCUCCCAAGUAUAUAAUUUUCCUUCUCUCCCUAUUCUUUUUAAGAUCAAAAUAUAGUGAAGCUCUUCCCAUGCCUUCUGUCUAAUUAGAUUUCCAUCCCACCUGGAACCCAGAUGACCUGUCCAUUGGAAAGCUUUGACUAGAAUCUAAAACCACUGUCCUAGAAACCAUUCUUAUAUUGCAAAAAACAAACAAAAAAAAACUUUAAGCUUAGAAACACCCUAGGUAGGAAUUUUUCCAGUCACCUCCCUUAUUGUUGGAACCCUGACCUCACAAAGCAGCACACACCUGAGCUAACUGUUGACAUUUCUUGCAAACAUGGAAAGGAAACCUGCCUUUGUUUGGCAUUUUUACACAUUGUUUCCAGCUCAGCCCCUGGAAGCUAGUGUCUCUACUCCACAUCAUAGCCCUUUAUAGUUUUGAAACCAGUGAUCAGAUCAUCCCCACUUCUAUCUUCUUUUGUUCCUUAUGUAAGAUGGAUUCCAGACCCCUCCCCAUAUGAGAGAUCUUUACUAUACACCGUCUAGUUUGUUACCAUCUCCUUCAAAAUGUGGCAUGAAGGACAUACUGUAAUACUUAGAUUGUCAUUUAAAAAAUGGCCCCAGGGUCUAUCCAGCCUGCUCACAACAUUAUUCUGUGUUUAGAACUAGGGUUUGCUUCCUGGCUUGUUUGUGUUUUAUACUGUUUGCUUUAACAAUCUAGGCAGGAGCACAAUUAAUGUGGGCUGGGCCUUGCAUUUUCCCCUUGUACAUUUCCUUUGAUUUUUGUCUGAGUCUUCAACUUUAUUGGCUUAGGGAAUCUAAGCCAAUGGAACCUCCUCCUGAUGCAGAUGGGCCAUUCAUUUAUU